GGGAAACCGGGCUACAUACAAAGGGAUGCUUGUCUCCCUCCAGGGAAACCCCUCGAGUCUCUACACAAAGCAGCGGGGUGCAGAAUCCUAUUCCGGCUAAUACUCAGUUACCAAUAUAAUGGAUGGUGGAGAGGAAUCGAUAGAGGCAGUGGCGGCCGCUCGGUGAAAGAGGCUGAGAUCGCUCAAAAUGGCUCAGGAACUCCUUAAUACGCCAGAUGCUAAUGCUGAAAAUGACAACAAUCAAGAACAAAAAGAGGAAGAAGAGCAAAAGCAAGAGUAAUUUUCUCUUCGUUUCCCCCCAUUUUAUUUUUGUUUAGAGCAAGAAGAAGCAAAGAGGAGAUUGAAAGAAGAUGGCAAAAAUGGCGUCCAAGACUGAAGGGAAACAUCAAUUCUAGACCGUGAAUUACAAAGCAUGUUCUACAAUCAUUUUUAGUUUGUAUAACUCUGUUUUCUUAGAAUCUUUAAUAGAAUGUAUUUCACUCAAUCUAGGUUUAUUUAAGAUGCUUGAAACAUUAGACGUAAAUUUUAUGUAUCAAAUGACCUGAUGGAAAUUAACAAUGAAAUGUGAUUUAAAAGGACAUAACUACAAUGGUUGAGUUCAUAAAUAAUGCUAUUGUUAUUGUAAAGGUAGAUUGUACAUCACAGUUGUUUUUGUAGCCAUGAACUCGAAUUGUAUGAGUUUAACGUGAC